rnacentral:rRNA from 1 species
AGAGUUUGAUCCUGGCUCAGGACGAACGCUGGCGGCGUGCUUAACACAUGCAAGUCGAGCGGUAAGGCCCUUCGGGGUACACGAGCGGCGAACGGGUGAGUAACACGUGGGUAACCUGCCCUGUACUCUGGGAUAAGCCUUGGAAACGAGGUCUAAUACCGGAUACGACCAUUGAUCGCAUGAUCGGUGGUGGAAAGUUCCGGCGGUAUGGGAUGGACCCGCGGCCUAUCAGCUUGUUGGUGGGGUAAUGGCCUACCAAGGCGACGACGGGUAGCCGGCCUGAGAGGGUGACCGGCCACACUGGGACUGAGACACGGCCCAGACUCCUACGGGAGGCAGCAGUGGGGAAUAUUGCACAAUGGGCGAAAGCCUGAUGCAGCGACGCCGCGUGAGGGAUGACGGCCUUCGGGUUGUAAACCUCUUUCAGCAGGGACGAAGCGCAAGUGACGGUACCUGCAGAAGAAGCACCGGCUAACUACGUGCCAGCAGCCGCGGUAAUACGUAGGGUGCGAGCGUUGUCCGGAAUUAUUGGGCGUAAAGAGCUCGUAGGCGGUUUGUCGCGUCGGCCGUGAAAACUUGGGGCUUAACCCCAAGCUUGCGGUCGAUACGGGCAGACUUGAGUUCGGCAGGGGAGACUGGAAUUCCUGGUGUAGCGGUGAAAUGCGCAGAUAUCAGGAGGAACACCGGUGGCGAAGGCGGGUCUCUGGGCCGACACUGACGCUGAGGAGCGAAAGCGUGGGGAGCGAACAGGAUUAGAUACCCUAGUAGUCC